rnacentral:rRNA from 1 species
UACGUAGGGUGCGAGCGUUGUCCGGAUUUAUUGGGCGUAAAGGGCUCGUAGGCGGCCUGUCGCGUCGGGAGUGAAAGCCCACUGCUUAACGGUGGGUCUGCUUCCGGUACGGGCGGGCUGGAGUAUGGCAGGGGAGACUGGAAUUCCUGGUGUAGCGGUGGAAUGCGCAGAUAUCAGGAGGAACACCGGUGGCGAAGGCGGGUCUCUGGGCCAUUACUGACGCUGAGGUGCGAAAGCGUGGGGAGCAAACAGG